rnacentral:rRNA from 1 species
GUCCUACGGGACGCAGCAGUGGGGAAUAUUGCACAAUGGGGGAAACCCUGAUGCAGCGACGCCGCGUGAAGGAAGAAGUAUUUCGGUAUGUAAACUUCUAUCAGCAGGGAAGAAGAUGACGGUACCUGACUAAGAAGCCCCGGCUAACUACGUGCCAGCAGCCGCGGUAAUACGUAGGGGGCAAGCGUUAUCCGGAUUUACUGGGUGUAAAGGGAGCGUAGGCGGUUCAGCAAGUCAGAAGUGAAAGCCCGGGGCUCAACUCCGGGACUGCUUUUGAAACUGUUGGACUAGAUUGCAGGAGAGGG